rnacentral:rRNA from 1 species
CCUACGGUGGGCAGCAGUAGGGAAUCUUCCACAAUGGGCGAAAGCCUGAUGGAGCAACGCCGCGUGGGUGAAGAAGGUCUUCGGAUCGUAAAACCCUGUUGUUAGAGAAGAAAGUGCGUGAGAGUAACUGUUCACGUUUCGACGGUAUCUAACCAGAACGCCACGGCUAACUACGUGCCAGCAGCCGCGGUAAUACGUAGGUGGCAUGCGUUAUCCGGUUUUAUUGGGCGUAAAGGGAACGCAGGCGGUCUUUUAAGUCUGAUGUGAAAGCCUUCGGCUUAACCGGAGUAGUGCAUUGGAGACUGGGAGACUUGAGUGCAGAAGAGGAGGGUGGAACUCCAUGUGUAGCGGUGAAAUGCGUAGAUAUAUGAAAGAACACCAGUGGCGAAAGCGGCUCUCGGGUCUGUAACUGACGCUGAGGUUCGAAAGCGUGGGUAGCAAACAGGAUUAGAUACCCGAGUAGUC